UGAGGAAUAUUGGACAAUGGGCGCAAGCCUGAUCCAGCCAUGCCGCGUGCAGGAUGACGGUCCUAUGGAUUGUAAACUGCUUUUUGUACAGGAAGAAACAGUUCUACGUGUAGAACCUUGACGGUACUGUAAGAAUAAGGAUCGGCUAACUCCGUGCCAGCAGCCGCGGUAAUACGGAGGAUCCAAGCGUUAUCCGGAAUCAUUGGGUUUAAAGGGUCCGUAGGCGGUUAGAUAAGUCAGUGGUGAAAGCCCAUCGCUCAACGGUGGAACGGCCAUUGAUACUGUCUGACUUGAAUUAUUAGGAAGUAACUAGAAUAUGUAGUGUAGCGGUGAAAUGCUUAGAGAUUACAUGGAAUACCAAUUGCGAAGGCAGGUUACUACUAAUGGAUUGACGCUGAUGGACGAAAGCGUGGGUAGCGAACAGGAUUAGAUACCCUUGUAGUCCCUGAGCGGGCUGGCAAGGCGCAU
rnacentral:rRNA from 1 species